GUUCCCUGAAAGAUUUGGAAAAGGAUGGAACAGGAUUGGAGAUGGGAACCAAGUUCCUUUGCUCUUUGAUUCACAUCCUUCCCUUUCGUGUCCAACACCUCUGCCCCUCGAGACUGAAGCUAAGUACCAAAGGAAAUGGGGGAAUUGUAACCGAGCAGGACCCCUCCCCCACAUCCCCUGCUUUAGCUGUCUCUGAGGUGCUGAGAUAAUAGUAGCUGAUGCAUAUUCCCUGAGUUUUUCAGAUGCUAAAACCAUCACCAAAUGGAAGCAGUUAACUAGUUGAGGAUCUCAGGUGCCCCCCCCCCUUCUGGAGCCUAAGGAUUGAUCACAUCAACCAAUCACCACCAAGCAAUCAGAGAAUUGGGCACCAGCUGAUCACGGACCCUGGGACGCACCUCCCUCACCUGGCCUUUAAAAAUGCUUUGCUGAAACCCUCCAGGGAGGUUUUUCUUGCUUGGCCCAGCCAGCAGCCUUUCUCUGCUCCAAACGCCGACGGUUCUAUUUGUUUGGCCUCAGUCUGCGUCUGGCACACGAACCUGCACUCGGAAAUUCGAUAAAACGGGUGAUGCAUUCAUUCUUCAGAGUGUGGGAGGACCGAGCUGCUUCUGAGACUGAAAUGAUACAACCCGAUUGCAACUCAUUUUGCAAGAUCAGAAUUUUUGCCUGGGAGUGAGAUACUCUUAGACAUUUUGGAGACAUCUUUAUAACGAAGUACAAAAUCAGUUGUAAGCAUUCUCAGGUGUUGUGAAACAUAUUCACAGGUUGUUGGAUUUUGUUCUACACAUUCCAUUAGAUCAAGCUUGUUAAUUGUGUUUGAUUCUUCUGUACACUGAAGUUUUCCUUUUAAUCUAUAUCUUUCUGAGUGAGAUGUGUUAAAAUCCUCCACUAAUCGUAGCGUAAAAUUUUCUAUGCCGUAAUUUUUUUUGGGGGGAGACUUUAAAUAUUUGGAGGGUCUGUUGGGUUACUCUUUGGAUGGCAUAUCUUAAUCCCUUUCAGCCCUUUUCUGUCAUAUUUAGGGAGUUUUUCUGGAUUAAAAAAAUCUGAGGUGAGAAAC